rnacentral:tRNA from 1 species
GCUAACGUAGCUUAAUUUAAAGCGUAACUCUGAAGAUGUUAAGAUGAGCCUUAAAAAGCUCCGAGAGCA